rnacentral:rRNA from 1 species
GGGCGGUGUGUACAAGGGGCGCUAUCACGUGCUGGGCGGCACCUUGUCGGCGCUGGAUGCAGUGGGGCCGGAGGAGCUGCGCAUCCCGCAGCUGUUGGAUCGGGUGAAGUCGGAAGGGGUCAGUGAGGUUAUUCUGGCGCUCAAUGCCACCGUCGAUGGCCAGACCACGGCGCAUUAUAUUGCUGACCAGCUGGAGGGGCAGGUGCGCCUGACCUCGCUGGCGCAGGGGGUGCCGAUCGGGGGGGAGCUGGAAUUACCGUAGCUCCAAUAGCGUAUAUUAAAGUUGUUGCAGUUAAAAAGCUCGUAGUUGGAUUUCUGGUCGGGGUCAACGGUGCGCACUCGCGCGCCUGCGUCCUCUGCCAUCCUUCUGUUAAGCCCGUAUAGCAUUCAUUUGUUGACGGGUGGCUCAGAUAUUUUACCUUGAGAAAAUUAGAGUGUUUCAGGCAGGCUAGCGCCGGGAUACAUUAGCAUGGAAUAAUGGAACAGGACUUUAACCUCUUCUGUUGGUCUGAGGGGUUAGAGUAAUGAUUAAUAGGGAUAGUUGGGGGCAUUAGUACUUAACUGUCAGAGGUGAAAUUCUCGGAUUUGUUAAAGACUAACUUAUGCGAAAGCAUUUGCCGAAGAUGUUUUCAUUAAUCAAGAACGAAAGUUAGGGGAUCGAAGACGAUCAGAUACCGUCCUAGUCUUAACCAUAAACUAUGCCGACUCGGGAUCGGGGGCAGCAUCAUCCGCCUUCGGCACCGUAUGAGAAAUCAAAGUCUUUGGUUCUGGGGGGAGUAUGGUCGCAAGGCUGAAACUUAAAGGAAUUGACGGAAGGGCACCACCAGGCGUGGAGCUUGCGGCUCAAUUUGACUCAACACGGGGAAACUUACCAGGUCCAGACACAGUGAGGAUUGACAGAUUGAUAGCUCUUUCUUGAUUCUGUGGGUGGUGGUGCAUGGCCGUUCUUAGUUGGUGGAGUGAUUUGUCUGGUUAAUUCCGUUAACGAACGAGACCUUAGCCUACUAAAUAGUCGCACCAAUUUACAUUGGCCGCGUACUUCUUAGAGGGACUUUGUACAUUAAGUACAAGGAAGUUUGAGGCAAUAACAGGUCUGUGAUGCCCUUAAAUGUCCUGGGCCGCACGCGUGCUACACUGACACAUACAGCGAGUUUUCCAGCUCCGCGAGGCAGCUGGCAAUCAGCAAUAUGUGUCGUGAUGGGGAUAGAUCUUUGGAAUUUUUGAUCUUGAACGAGGAAUGCCUAGUAAGCGCAAGUCAUCAGCUUGCGUUGAUUAAGUCCCUGCCCCUUGUACACACCGCCC